rnacentral:rRNA from 1 species
GACGAACGCUGGCGGCGUGCUUAACACAUGCAAGUCGAACGGUGAAGGGGCCUGCUUUUGUGGGCCCUGGAUGAGUGGCGAACGGGUGAGUAACACGUGAGUAACCUGCCCCCUUCUUCUGGAUAACCGCAUGAAAGUGUGGCUAAUACGGGAUAUUCUGGGUCUGUCGCAUGAUGGGUCUGGGAAAGAUUGCGCCUUUGGGUGUUUUUGGUGGGGGAUGGGCUCGCGGCCUAUCAGCUUGUUGGUGGGGUGAUGGCCUACCAAGGCGGUGACGGGUAGCCGGCCUGAGAGGGUGGACGGUCACACUGGGACUGAGACACGGCCCAGACUCCUACGGGAGGCAGCAGUGGGGAAUAGUGCACAAUGGGCGCAAGCCUGAUGCAGCGACGCCGCGUGAGGGAUGGAGGCCUUCGGGUUGUAAACCUCUUUCGCCAGUGAAGCAGGCCUGCUCCUUGUGGGUGGGUUGACGGUAGCUGGAUAAGAAGCGCCGGCUAACUACGUG